rnacentral:rRNA from 1 species
AUUGAACGCUGGCGGCAGGCCUAACACAUGCAAGUCGAGCGGAUGAAGGGAGCUUGCUCCUGGAUUCAGCGGCGGACGGGUGAGUAAUGCCUAGGAAUCUGCCUGGUAGUGGGGGAUAACGUCCGGAAACGGGCGCUAAUACCGCAUACGUCCUGAGGGAGAAAGUGGGGGAUCUUCGGACCUCACGCUAUCAGAUGAGCCUAGGUCGGAUUAGCUAGUUGGUGGGGUAAAGGCCUACCAAGGCGACGAUCCGUAACUGGUCUGAGAGGAUGAUCAGUCACAAUGGAACUGAGAAACGGUCCCGACCCCUACGGGAGGGCGCAGGUGGGAAAUUUGGAACAUGGGCGAAAGCCUUAUCCCACCCAGCCGCGGGUGUGAAGGAGGUCUUUCGAUUGUAAAGCACUUUAAGUUGGGAGGAAGGGCAGUAAGUUAAUACCUUGCUGUUUUGACGUUACCAACAGAAUAAGCACCGGCUAACUUCGUG